ACAUUUUUUUAAGUAUAAUCUUUAAAGUAGUUCCUGCUCAAUGAUUUAUUAAAUAGCUGCAGUAAUUUGACUGUACAAAGGUAGCAUAAUAAUUAGUUCUUUAAUUUGGAACUGGAAUGAAUGGAUUAAUGAAAAAUAAAUUUUAUUAAUUGUAAUUUUUUAAUUUAAUUUUUAAGUUAAAAAGCUUAAAUAUUUAUUUGGGACGAGAAGACCCUAUAGAACUUUAUUAUAUAUUAUUAUAUUAUAGUUAAUAAAUAAUAAUAAUUAUUAUUUUAGUUGGGGUGACUGAUAAAUUUUAACUUUAUCUUUGAAUUUCAUUUAUUUAUGAUAAUUGAUCCAUUUUUUUGAUUAGAAGUUUAAGUUACCUUAGGGAUAACAGCGUAAUUUUAAUGGAAAGUUCUUAUUAAUAUUAAAGUUUGCGACCUCGAUGUUGAAUUAAGAUUAAUAUAGGGGGUAGUUUCUUUAAUAUUUAAGUCUGUUCGACUUUUAAAUUCUUACAUGAUCUG
rnacentral:rRNA from 1 species